ACCUGGGUGGCUCAGUUGGUUAAGCGUCAGACUUCAGCUCUGGUCGUGAUCUUGUGGUUCGUGAGUUCGAGCCUCGCGUCGGGCU
rnacentral:tRNA from 1 species